AGAGUUUGAUCAUGGCUCAGAACGAACGCUGGCGGCGUGCUUAACACACGCAAGUCUAACGAGAAAGCUUCCUUCGGGGAGUUAGUAAAGUGGCGCACGGGUGAGUAACACGUGGGUAACCUACCCUUCAGUUUGGGAUAACAUUUCGAAAGGGAUGCUAAUACCAAAUACGUUCAAAAAGGCUUCGGCUUUAUUGGAGAAAGAUGGCCUCUAUACUAUGCUGUUGCUGAUGGAUGGGCCCGCGUACCAUUAGCUAGUUGGUAAGGUAACGGCUUACCAAGGCUACGAUGGUUAGCUGGUCUGAGAGGAUGAUCAGCCACACUGGUACUGGAACACGGACCAGACUCCUACGGGAGGCAGCAGUGGGGAAUAUUGCGCAAUGGGGGCAACCCUGACGCAGCAACGCCGCGUGAGUGAUGAAGGCCUUUGGGUCGUAAAGCUCUGUCAGAGGGGAAGAAGGUGCUGGGGUUAAUACCCCUGGUUACUUGACGGUACCCUCAAAGGAAGCACCGGCUAACUCCGUGCCAGCAGCCGCGGUAAUACGGGGGGUGCAAGCGUUGUUCGGAAUUACUGGGCGUAAAGGGCGCGUAGGCGGCUAUUUAAGUCAGAUGUGAAAGCCCAGGGCUCAACCCUGGAACUGCAUUUGAAACUGAGUGGCUUGAGUACGGGAGAGGGAAGUGGAAUUCCAAGUGUAGAGGUGAAAUUCGUAGAUAUUUGGAGGAACACCAGUGGCGAAGGNGGCUUCCUGGNNCGAUACUGACGCUGAGGNNCGAAANCGUGGGGAGCAAACAGGAUUANAUAC
rnacentral:rRNA from 1 species